AUUGCUUCUUGGCCUUUUGGCUAAGAUCAAGUGUAGUCUUUCAUGUUGAGAGAGAGAAAGAUCCCAAACUGGUAGAAAAGAAAAGUAAUUUUAGGCUAUAGCUCAGGUGAAUGCUUUGCCUGUGCCAGCCAAUUACUAACUUUUGGAGUAUACCCCUU
rnacentral:snRNA from 1 species